rnacentral:rRNA from 1 species
AUUGAACGCUGGCGGCAGGCUUAACACAUGCAAGUCGAGCGGAGUGAUGGUGCUUGCACUAUCACUUAGCGGCGGACGGGUGAGUAAUGCUUAGGAAUCUGCCUAUUAGUGGGGGACAACAUCUCGAAAGGGAUGCUAAUACCGCAUACGUCCUACGGGAGAAAGCAGGGGAUCACUUGUGACCUUGCGCUAAUAGAUGAGCCUAAGUCGGAUUAGCUAGUUGGUGGGGUAAAGGCCUACCAAGGCGACGAUCUGUAGCGGGUCUGAGAGGAUGAUCCGCCACACUGGGACUGAGACACGGCCCAGACUCCUACGGGAGGCAGCAGUGGGGAAUAUUGGACAAUGGGGGGAACCCUGAUCCAGCCAUGCCGCGUGUGUGAAGAAGGCCUUAUGGUUGUAAAGCACUUUAAGCGAGGAGGAGGCUCUUUUGGUUAAUACCCAGAAUGAGUGGACGUUACUCGCAGAAUAAGCACCGGCUAGCUCUGUGCCAGCAGCCGCAGUAA